CCCAGACUCCUACGGGAGGCAGCAGUAGGGAAUCUUUCACAAUGGGCGAAAGCCUGAUGGAGCAACGCCGCGUGCAGGAUGAAGGCCUUCGGGUUGUAAACUGCUUUUAUAAGCGAGAAAUAUGAUGGUAACUUAUGAAUAAGGAUCGGCUAACUACGUGCCAGCAGCCGCGGUAAUACGUAGGGGGCGAGCGUUAUCCGGAUUUACUGGGUGUAAAGGGAGCGUAGACGGCCAUGCAAGCUCGGUGUGAAAGGUGCGGGCACAACCCGCAGACUGCACUGAGAACUGUAUGGCUGGAGUGCCGGAGGGGCAGGCGGAAUUCCUGGUGUAGCGGUGAAAUGCGUAGAUAUCAGGAGGAACACCGGUGGCGAAGGCGGCAUGCUGGACGGCGACUGACGUUGAGGCCCGAAAGCGUGGGGAGCGAACAGGAUUAGAUACCCGGGUA
rnacentral:rRNA from 1 species